AGCGAACGCUGGCGGCAGGCCUAACACAUGCAAGUCGAACGGACCCUUCGGGGUUAGUGGCGGACGGGUGAGUAACACGUGGGAACGUGCCUUUAGGGUCGGAAUAGCUCCUGGAAACGGGUGGUAAUGCCGAAUGUGCCCUUCGGGGGAAAGAUUUAUCGCCUUUAGAGCGGCCCGCGUCUGAUUAGCUAGUUGGUGAGGUAACGGCUCACCAAGGCGACGAUCAGUAGCUGGUCUGAGAGGAUGACCAGCCACACUGGGACUGAGACACGGCCCAGACUCCUACGGGAGGCAGGAGUGGGGAAUCCUGCGCAAUGGGCGAAAGCCUGACGCAGCCAUGCUGCGUGAAUGAUGAAGGUCUUAGGAUUGUAAAAUUCUUUCACCGGGGACGAUAAUGACGGUACCCGGAGAAGAAGCCCCGGCUAACUUCGUG
rnacentral:rRNA from 1 species